UUGCGCUUGCAAUACUUAUUAGAAAAUCUAGAUUUGCUUCAGAUUCAAACACUUUUUUUAUUAUUAUUUUGAAAAACAAAUAUCUUUCAUUAAUCAUUGUUGCCGUCUUAGUCUUUUUCAUUGUCGAUGCUUUUAUGCAUCUUCCACCUGGCCAUUUAUUAAAUUUGGUACUGAAGCUGCCCUCUUUUGCUCGUUCACCAACUAAUUAAACAAUUAAUAACAUUUCUCUAAACGGAAAAUAAACCAAGGAAAAUUUUCUAAUCAACUCACAAGAGAACGAGUCUAAUACACCUUAAAACUAUUAAUAAAUAUUAUACAGCAUUAAACCAUUUAACCUUAUAUCCUUAAACUUUUAAAAUGAUUAUUAACCCUCCAAAAAGCCAACGACAUAUAAGUAAAGAUCAAAUUAACUGCUUUAAAAAAUCCAACUGUAAGCAAACGCACAUGUAACACAUCACAUGCAAUUUUAUAGCAUUUAGUGAAGUAUCCGCCACGUGACAAUGGCUUUCCCCAUAAACACACAUUCAGUCCAUAAUUUAAAUCGAUAAUAACAUUUUGUUGAAAGAAAAAAAAAAAAAAUUGAUCAUCAUCCACAGCUAUCACAAUAACAAUAUACCAAGAUUCAAAUACAUAUAUAUUUUUUCCUUUAUAAAAUAAAAAAUAAAUAUCAAUAUAAUAAUUUUAAAUAUUUAAUAUAAUAUUAAUAAUCUGACGUAUAAUCGAUAUUUAAUACAAUCAGAUGUGUAACGAGACCAACUCGAGACUUGAUCUACCAAUUCUAGUUUCGAAUAUAUUAUGAUCAUCCGAUAUGUUAAAACACUGAUUUAAUUUCUCACAUGUACCGUUUAGGGUUAUGCAAUUUUAAAUAAGGGUAAAAGCUUGUUUAGUCCUUAUAUUAUGAGGUUAGUGUCCACUUAGUCCCUGUAUUUUUAAAA
rnacentral:lncRNA from 1 species